rnacentral:rRNA from 1 species
AUUGAACGCUGGCGGCAGGCCUAACACAUGCAAGUCGAGCGGCAGCGGGAAAGUAGCUUGCUACUUUUGCCGGCGAGCGGCGGACGGGUGAGUAAUGCCUGGGAAAUUGCCCAGUCGAGGGGGAUAACAGUUGGAAACGACUGCUAAUACCGCAUACGCCCUACGGGGGACAGCAGGGGACCUUCGGGCCUUGCGCUAUUGGAUCUGCCCAGGUGGGAUUAGCUAGUUGGUGAGGUAAUGGCUCACCAAGGCGACGAUCCCUAGCUGGUCUGAGAGGAUGAUCAGCCACACUGGAACUGAGACACGGUCCAGACUCCUACGGGAGGCAGCAGUGGGGAAUAUUGCACAAUGGGGGAAACCCUGAUGCAGCCAUGCCGCGUGUGUGAAGAAGGCCUUCGGGUUGUAAAGCACUUUCAGCGAGGAGGAAAGGUCAGUAGCUAAUACCUGCUGGCUGUGACGUUACUCGCAGAAGAAGCACCGGCUAACUCCGUGCCAGCCGCCGCAGUAAAAC